GGACGUACCUCUGGAGAGACUUGCAUUGCAGGCGCCGAAGGAUUAAUUCUCUCAGGCAGAAGGACAGGGGAAGAGCA
rnacentral:ncRNA from 2 species